AGCAAAGGACUGGUUGUCUGAAAACUAUGGGCAAGGUGAUGGGGCUAACUAUGCAGAGGAAGAAGCCGCCAAAGAGGAUGAGGUAUUGCAGGAGACAUUUGUGGCUUGGAGAGAGUUAUAUGAGGCAGAGCUUGCAAUUGAGCUAACCAAGCUGAUGCCGGAAUCUGCUCUUACAGCACCCAAGGAGAAGAAGCUUACAGGAAGACAGUGGUUUGAGAGUGGCAAAGCGAGCAGAACAAUGGUCGCUGCUAAUCAAGAAUCUGAGGAGGAAGAUGAUGAAGACACUGACUUUACAUUGAGCAGCAUUCAAUCUCCAUUACUCAUAGAUUCACGUUUUUAACAUUCUUAAAAUAGCAGCACCGGGAUGUAAACAUGUUUUUUUGCCUAAAUAAACUUUAUGUUCAAAAAAAAGAAAAAGUAAAUGAAUGUUAAAACUUA